rnacentral:lncRNA from 1 species
UUACAGUAGUGGCUAUGGUCCAGAUAAACUUCCCCACUGGCCCAGACUCUUCAAAGAUGCUUUGAAGAAUGAAAGCAAGAAGGAAUGAAGGGUAUAUGGUGAGGUCAGAGAUGGGAAACACUGAGUAGGAGAAUGCCAAGUAAAUUUGUUGAUAUUAGUUAGUCAGACACUAUCUAUAGUCAAAGAAAUAGUACUCUGCAUUGGUCUGAGUAGAUGGCAGACCCCUCUUUUCUCUCCUGCAGUGCUCACUCUACAUAAUUACCAGCAGUGGCCUCAAGUUCAGACUGACAUACAGAGCACCCACCAAUCCAUAACCUGGCUUCAGAUUCCCUUAGCUUUUUGCGGGAGGAUAUAAGGCAGGAAACGGCAUUCUAGCAGGGUAGUAUCAGUGGAGUCUUUAUAC